CUACACAAGCCCCCAACUUCAGCGUGUCAAUGGGGCACGUCGCUGGCUUCGGCGUCGGCGCAGGUCCUGGUGGCGUGGGGCAUGGUGUCUUCCCCUUUGGUGGGUUUGUUAUCACCGGAGGCACUGGAAGUACCGGAGGGACGGGAAGCACCGGAGGGAUGGGAAGUACCGGAGGGAUGGGAAGUACCGGAGGGACGGGAAGUACCGGAGGGACAGGAAGUACCGGAGGGAUAUUGAUCGGAGGCUUGACGAUGGGUGGGAUAGGGACGAUCGGCGGCUUGACAAUGACCGGUGGGACGUGGACAGGUGGUUUCUUGGGCUUGGACUUGUGUUUCUUGGGAGGCUUGCAGGUGCCGCAGCCGAGAAUGGGGGCUGCGGAGGAGAUGAAAAGCAUGCAAAUGAGGAGGAGAGCGGAAAUCUUGGAGGUCUCCAUUGUUGGUACUGGUAAA
rnacentral:lncRNA from 1 species